rnacentral:lncRNA from 1 species
AGGCGUUGCAAUAUACAUCGUGAAAGAAAGCGGACGUUCAAAAGAGUUUAUGGAAAGUACCUUGCAAUAAAGCUCAUUGUAAUACCAAGAGCCGUGUUACCCAGAUAUUAUGUUUUGCAUAAAUAGGCGUUACAACAAAGUACUUAAAAAUCGUGAAAGAGAACAGAUCCCCAACAGACCAUCAAUACAUUUACCCCUCUAUCUGAAUUUACAUAGAUUUGCGUUAUAAAAUAAUGAAAUAGUCAAUAUACUGUUUAAGCAUGUUUUGAGGGAAAUGUUUCUUCUCACUUCACGCAUGCAUGCUUAGGGUUGUAAUACAAAUCCUGCUACAAUUCUUUUUGUUUUCUUUUUUUUAAAUACCAAGUUAUAUAAUUUGCAUAUCAUGCGUCACAAAAUGAUAAACAAAUGAUGAAACACUACUGCCAAUUCGAAAUAGCACCAGGGAAUGUAUCCGGACCGGUCCCCAAGCAUUUUAGCCCCCUUAAUAAACAACACCACCUGGCACCAUUGAAAUAUUUUGGAAACCUCACUCCUACACAUACUUAACCCCUUUAUUCCACAAGUGGCAAAGCUUAGAAAAGGGAACUGAAACCAACAGCCCUUGGCGCGACAAUCUUAUUAAAAUAUUAUUAUUGCUUUGGUUAGAACAAUUAAUGAACAACCUCUGGCAAAAAAAACAACAAAAAAAAUUGCCUGAAAAAUCCCCCUUUUUUUUCAAUGUUGUCACUUCAUCUCCGAUAUUCAACAUUUAAGGCAUUAUGGAGACGAAGUUGCACACAAAUCAAACCUCGCCUUCCACAUACCCAACAACGAUGAGAAACCCGAGGCUUCGCUUUAUAUUUCAUAUACACUGAAGAAAGAAAAAAAAA